rnacentral:rRNA from 1 species
UACGGGGGGAGCAAGCGUUGUUCGGAUUUACUGGGCGUAAAGGGCGCGUAGGCGGUCGUCUAAGUCACUUGUGAAAUCUCCGGGCUCAACCCGGAGCGGCCAAGUGAUACUGGGCGACUAGAGUGCGGAAGGGGCAACCGGAAUUCUCGGUGUAGCGGUGAAAUGCGUAGAUAUCGAGAGGAACACCUGCGGCGAAGGCGGGUUGCUGGGCCGACACUGACGCUGAGGCGCGAAAGCCAGGGGAGCGAACGGG